AGUGAACGCUGGCGGUAGGCCUAACACAUGCAAGUCGAACGGCAGCACAGUAAGAGCUUGCUCUUACGGGUGGCGAGUGGCGGACGGGUGAGGAAUACAUCGGAAUCUACUUUUUCGUGGGGGAUAACGUAGGGAAACUUACGCUAAUACCGCAUACGACCUACGGGUGAAAGCAGGGGAUCUUUGGACCUUGCGCGAUUGAAUGAGCAGAUGUCGGAUUAGCUAGUUGGCGGGGUCAAGGCCCACCAAGGCGACGACCCGUAGCUGGUCUGAGAGAAUGAUCAGCCACAUUGGAACUAAGCAACGGUCCAGACUCCUACGAGAGGCAGCAGUGGGGAAUAUUGGACAAUAGGCGCAAGCCUGAUCCAACCAUACCGCGUGGGUGAAGAAGGCCUUCGGGUUGUAAAGCCCUUUUGUUGGGAAAGAAAAGCAGCAGGUUAAUACCCCGCUGUUCUGACGGUACCCAAAGAAUAAGCACCGGCUAACUUCGUG
rnacentral:rRNA from 1 species